rnacentral:sRNA from 1 species
GGUAUAUAAGUAGCUGUACUUUCUUGUUAGAACUUCCAAACAAGCUCUCAAAGUCCAUUUGUAGGAAAAAUGAAAAGAGAAAAAC